rnacentral:tRNA from 1 species
UGUUGAAGUGUCAGAUAUAUGUGGUAAAUUUAGAAUUUAUUUAUGGGGUUAUUCCUCUUCAAUAG